UUCCAUACCUAUAACCAAACAUACCAUUCCAAAACAUUCAAUAACCAAUAAAACAUAACAUUCCAUUCCAAAACGUACCAUUCAAUUAAUAAGAAACAAAACAUACCAUUCAUACAAUUCAUGUUAUUCAAAACUAAACCAAAAGAUAAAAGAAGAGGAACCUAUUUGUUGGUGUUUGUCACGCUAUUCGUCGCACUUUUACUCGGACUUUUACUCGGACUUUUACUCGGACUUUUACUUGGACUCAUGCCAAUAUUUUCGACAUUUGAAUCUCUUGUAAUAGGCGUGAUUAUGGUGUUGUGUCCUUGGCUCGACUGACUCUAAUGUAAAAAAAAAUUGAAAUUACAAAGAAAAUAUGAAUAUUGAUUUAUAUAUAAAUGCUAAUUACCUCAAUCGUCUCUCGACGUAAGUCUUCCCUUAGUUCCUUUAGUAUAUCC
rnacentral:lncRNA from 1 species